UCAUUUUUGCCUUGUUUUUCUGUAAAUUGGGUCUUAAUGACUUGUUUGGUUUUUUCCACAAUAUAGACAUCACCUGAAGAUAACUGUUGGAUUACAUGGCCAAACUAUUUAUGGAUCCAGUGUUUACAGCAAUGACUUAUUUUUAUUUCCAAGAACGCUUCUAAUGAGGUGAUCGAAACAUUCCGAAGGCAUCAAUAUUAAGAAUGGUUUUCAUUUAAACUUAUUAAAUGAACAAGGAGACAAAAAACAAGGGUUCCAAACGUGGAGAAGUGGAGCCCUGUUAAUGGUCCAUCCUCUUAGAUUUGAAAAGUGCAAUUUUUCGAGAACAAAUGAAGUCCAAUUCAUAUUGAUGUAUUUAGGAAUAAAACUUGAGCAUCGUACAAUUAACCUCGAGAACGUCCAAAUGGUGAAAAAGGAAGAAUUAAAGUUCAGAUUGAUGGUAUUGAAACAGCCAAUGUCUUCUCUUGAUUUGCUGUUUUCGUCUUCAACUUGCAACAUUAUGCAGUUAAUUUUCAACAGAUGAGUGAGAGCCAGAGGAGAUUUAUAUGAAUUUCACUGGAACAAGUUUCCUGCUAUGAUAUUCCUUGUGGAUUUAGUUUGCUUUUCACACAUGCAAACUUGGGAAGUUUACAACAGUCUACUGUUUGUUAAGGUGAGAGUAUUUAAUAUAAUUCAUAUUAAUUGCUCUUUAUUAAUCUGUUACCACCGUAUCUGUUUCAGAUCGACGCUGGAGAAGACAAAGAAGACCCCGUA